rnacentral:rRNA from 1 species
AGAAUCAACGCUGGCGGCGUGCCUAACACAUGCAAGUCGCACGAGAAAGGGGAGCAAUCCCUGAGUAAAGUGGCGCACGGGUGAGUAACACGUGAAUAAUCUACCUCCGAGUGGGGAAUAAACUGAGAGAAAUCUUAGCUAAUACCGCAUAAUACCCACGGGUCAAAGCAGCAAUGCGCUUGGAGAGGAGUUCGCGGCCGAUUAGUUAGUUGGCGGGGUAAUGGCCCACCAAGACGAUGAUCGGUA